rnacentral:lncRNA from 1 species
GGUUUCUAUCCAGCCCGGGGUUGGCUGCAGGGCCGGAAGUGAAUUCCUCUGCUGGUCAGACCCAGAUCGCCUGUCUCUAAAGGAUGGCCAAAAAGCAGGGAAGAGUGUGCCUGGUGAGUCCCUCUGGGUCACCCCGAGUCCUGUCUGUGCCUUGUUAUUAUUCUCAUCCCUCUUCCGUUUCUAUUCCCCAGAAGCUGGCCUGUGGCAACUCUGCACCGAGCAACAGGGACCACCCAGGACAGGAAUUCCAGACUUACAAAGGAAGGAAGAGUCAGUGAAGAAUGUAUACACCGGGGUGGCAUUUCCUAUUUCUACUGCCAGCACCCUAUGAGAAACUCUCAAAAACAUCCACAUGGUCUGUGGCAACAAUCUACUAAUUUUUUCUCUAGUUCAAUAGUAAGGUUAUCCAUAGGCACGUGGGAUGAAAACAGAAUUUCUGUUUCUAUUUAUUUUAUCUAAAAACUACUUUAUUUAUGCUUAAUAUAUGAAUUAGUAUGAGUGCCUAUUAUUGGUCCACAGAUGAGAUAAAAGGUAUCCUGGAGGGGAGGGGUGGGCGGCUCACAAUGUGAAGGGGAUGACAAGCGGCGCCCUCAUUCAUUUGCUCACUUUCAGCAUAAUAUGACAUGUUUAGUUAUAACUGGACUUAUGAAUUAUUAUUUUAUCUAGGCUUAACUACAAUAACCUUCAUAAAAUGGACAAGUCAUUUAAUGAGAUUCCAGCAAAGAACAAAUUCAAGAGAAUACUAAUAAUGCUUCAAGUACAAUUCAACAAUAUGAAAAUGGCAACACUGGCCCCUGUCCAGCUCUUAGUAUGGGUUCUUGGUCAGCCCCAUCACAAAGCAACCACAAAGACAAUUUAAAACCGAGUCACCUGAAUAUCUUCCAAAAGAUCGAGAAUAUUACUAGACAUAUGGAUUUAUACACAAUACCAUUAUCAAUGAACCUCACCCUAAAUGUACAUUGUGCCUUGAGAUCUUACUAAUGAUGGAAGUCAUCUCAAUUAACAAGACGCUUAGAAAACAAGCAUUUGUUGUCAAAAAAUGUCACCUAUGAAAACUGAUAGUGGUAGACUUUAAAAACAUGAAAACAGAAUUUUAAAAUGUUACAAAAGAAGAAUAUCAUUGGGUUUUGAACC